UGAGUAACACGUAUCCAACCUGCCGUCUACUCUUGGACAGCCUUCUGAAAGGAAGAUUAAUACAAGAUGGCAUCAUGAGUCCGCAUGUUCACAUGAUUAAAGGUAUUCCGGUAGACGAUGGGGAUGCGUUCCAUUAGAUAGUAGGCGGGGUAACGGCCCACCUAGUCUUCGAUGGAUAGGGGUUCUGAGAGGAAGGUCCCCCACAUUGGGACUGAGACACGGCCCAA
rnacentral:rRNA from 1 species